UUAAUUUAGACCAACCCAACUCAUAAGAAAAUGGGUUAUUAAUAAGAAAAAACUUUAAGUACUUUUUUGUUUUUAGAGAACUUUAAAAUAAACUUUAAUUAAAUAAAAUUAGUUAAAGUGAAGUCAAUUAAAAUUACGUUUAAUUAUUUAAAUUAGUCGUGAUUUUCCAAGGUUUGACACAUAGUACCUGAGGCCUCAACUAGGAAACUUGUGUACAAGUUGCAUUUCGAAUCAUCUUUCUUGUAAAUGGACCAUAUACUCACCUUAAAUCAUCCAUCCAAGCCUAGCGGCUAAGAGGUAUUAAGCUUAUCAACCAGCUCCCGACUUACUAGUAUAAUCACCUUAGAUUACCCUAAUAUUCAUCUACUUGAAGAAUGAAAAUAUUCACAAAAGGCAAGUUCGGCGAAAGCCAAGUCAAGAAGCUGCUGCAUAAAGACACCCAUAGUUCAUGACAACUAACAUAUUCUGCAGAAAAGAUUUAUGUUAAAUUUAAUAACUAAAAAUGUUAUUUAUGCUUUCUCUUAAAAACG